rnacentral:rRNA from 1 species
GUCCACGCGGUAAACGAUGAAUGUUAGGUGUUGCGGGUAUCGACCCCUGCAGUGCCGGAGUAAACACAAUAAACAUUCCGCCUGGGGAGUACGGCCGCAAGGUUGAAACUCAAAAGGAAUUGACGGGGGCCCGCACAAGCAGCGGAGCAUGUUGUUUAAUUCGAAGCAACGCGAAGAACCUUACCAGGUCUUGACAUCCAGUUAAAGCCAUAGAGAUAUGGUGUCCCUUCGGGGGAACUGAGACAGGUGGUGCAUGGUUGUCGU